UCGAGGAUCUUCGGCAAUGGGCGCAAGCCUGACCGAGCGACGCCGCGUGUGCGAUGAAGGCCUUCGGGUUGUAAAGCACUGUCGAGGGGGAUAAAGGCGCAAGCUUGAUUGAUCCCUGGAGGAAGCACGGGCUAAGUUCGUGCCAGCAGCCGCGGUAAGACGAACCGUGCGAACGUUGUUCGGAAUCACUGGGCUUAAAGGGCGCGUAGGCGGCAUUUCAAGUCCGGGGUGAAAGCCCCCAGCUUAACUGGGGAAGUGCCUUGGAAACUGGAGUGCUCGAGGGAGGUAGGGGUCGAGGGAACUUCUGGUGGAGCGGUGAAAUGCGUUGAUAUCAGAAGGAACGCCGGUGGCGAAAGCGCUCGACUGGACCUUUUCUGACGCUGAGGCGCGAAAGCUAGGGGAGCAAACGGGAUUAGAUACCCCCGUAGUCC
rnacentral:rRNA from 1 species